AUUGAACGCUGGCGGUAGGCCUCACACAUGCAAGUCGAGCGGAGCGGCGGACGGGUGAGAAAUGCCUAGGAAUCUGCAUGGUAGUGGGGGAAAACGUCCGGCAACGGGCGCUAAUAUCGCAUACUAUCAGAUGAGCCUAGGUCGGAUUCGCUAGGUGGUGGGGUAAAGGACUACCAAGGCGACGAACCGUAACUGGUAUGAGAGGAUGAUCAGUCACACUGGAACUGCGACACGGUCCAGACGCCUACGUGAGGCUGCAGUGGGGAAUAUUGGGCAAUGGGCUACAGCCUGAGCCAGCCAUGCCGCGUGUGUGAAGAUGGUCUUCGGAUUGUAAAGCACUUUAAGUUGGGAGGCGUUACCAACAGAAUAAGCACCGGCUAACUUCGUGCCAGCAGCCGCGGUAAUUC
rnacentral:rRNA from 1 species